AUGGAAACUUGAACUACGUGCUGGCAAGAAUGUGGCUGACAACACGGUGACCUGGAUCUGCCUCCAGGGGUGCUGGCAGAGCAGGGCUCUCACGCAGGGUUAGGAGAUGCACAGAAUUCAAGGCUUCCGAGUGACAGUUAGCAGAACCUGAAUGGGCUGCUCAUCAAGGAAAAAGCCCUGAUGGAGUCCAGGAACUCAAGUCCCAGUUCUGGUUCCUUCGCCAUUCAGCUGUGCCAUCAUGGGCACAUCACUUAGCCUCACUGGAGUUCAGUUUCCUCAGUAGUAAAAUGUGGUAAGCACAUCUCAAUUCAGACCAGCCACACUCCAGUGCUCGACAGCCACCUGUGGCUCACGGCCUGUACUGGACAGUGCAGCUGGAACCCAAUGGAUGAUUUUUUAAGGUCCCACUUAUGUCCCUCACUCAUCUACAGGCUCCAUGAAGUCAGAUAUCAAACAUUUCCAUUGCUACAUUCUCCAGGCCUAAUCUGCAUCCUCCCAGAGUGGCUCUUCAGUGAACAUCUACUGAAUUGAACAGACAUGCACAGAGCAGAUGGACAGCACUAGGGACUUGUCCUCUGGCCCCAGAGGCCCAUGAAAGAGUAUCCAGGCAGGCUGGACUAUGCUGGGAAGGGGGAAGGCCUGGGCCCUCAUCGAAAGGGAAGGACCCCAAAAGGAAGAGAAACCCAUCAACAUCCUGUUAACUAAACGGAGAGAAAUGCUGUUUAGGGGAAAAAAAAAAAAACAUAAUAAAUAAAAUUCCUGAGAGAAGCUGCUAA
rnacentral:lncRNA from 1 species